UCUCCUUGAGGGGCCUUAGCCUCUGCCCAGGACUCUCUCGUGACCAGGAGGCUGAGGCCCCUCACAGGCGGC
rnacentral:pre_miRNA from 1 species